UCAUCCAUACUUGUAUAGUGGGCUAAUGCUCCAUGGAUUAUCAAGUUGGGCUAAAACCCAUAGGAUGCUCCAUGGAUGCUCCAUGGUGUUUUUGUACCCAUAGAUCAUGGAAAUGAAAGGCCAUGACAAUUAGGGUUUACAUGGUGUAACCCUAAUUGUGACACACUAUAUAAGCAUCUUAUUCUUGUCAAAAUCAACCACCAUGAGAGACUAUGAAGGAAUGGUGAGGGCUAGCCGAUUUCAUGAAGUGUAUCAUUUCUUUCUAAGUUAUUCUAUGUGUAUUUGAUGUUGUGUGAACCAUUUGAGGUGUCACACUUGGGGCACUAGGCUCUCGAGCUUCAUGGAGUUAAGCUAUAUCAACAAGGUAUGUAUUUCUAUCUAGUUUAUUAUUCAAGUAUCAAAAGAUCGUAUGCUAGUUAGGGUANAUACCUUGGAUAUUCAUAUUUGCAUGUAUAAUAGAGAAAACAUAGAUCCAAGGUAUUUAGGGUUGCAUGUACACUUAGGAGUGUUGGAAUGCUCAAAACCCAACAGUGGUAUCAGAGCCUAGGCUUGUUUUCUAGUUAUACUUGAAAAAUCUGCUUAAAAACCGAAGUUUUUUUGCUGUCUGGACAGCUGACUCGGAGAGUCCGUCAGGUGACUCGACGAGUCCAUGCCUUAAAAGUGUUCAAAAUGAUCCAACUCGUCAAGUUGGUUCAUGCACUCGACGAGUUGGACCCCCAGACAGCAUAUUUUCGUCUGUUUUGGCUGGAAAUGGACUAGGAACAUUACCCUAAGCUGUUCUUCAACUUAUAAACCUGUUUUUGAUGUGGUAAUGUUCAUGUUAAUCCAAUUUCAAAGAUAAUUGUCAAUUGAAUCAUGUUUUGUAUUAGUUUAAGGUUUAGGCUAAUUACAUGAAAAAUUUUGAUUUGAAUUAUCUUGUUCUUGUAAGUUGCUUAGAUUACUAGGAAAAGUUAUAUGAAAUUGUUGUUUUCAAUCCAAAUUAAACUAAGAGUUGAUUCUAAAAUGUGUUUUUGUAACUUGUCCUCAAAUUAUAUGAAAAGUCACAUUUAAGGUUCAUAAAACUCAUAAAUAUUUCCAUAGGUUAUGAAUAAAGAAAAGUCACAUUCUUUUAAUAGUUUAAAUUCUUCCAUAACUUGUCCUCAAGUUAUGGAACAUGAAGAGUUUUUGGAUUAAAACUACUAUAAACACAUAAGUUAUGGAAAAUGAAUAGUUUUGAAUAGUUUCAAAACUUGCCCUCAAGUUUUGGAAUUUGAAAAGUUUUCCCUUAUGAAUACUUUAAUUCCAAGUUAAGCCCUUAGAAUUUUAAAAGUUAAAAUUCAAUCCUUAUACUUUAUAAUAUUAUAAAUUAAUAAUAUUUAUAUAUAUNNNNNNNNNNNNNNNNNNNNNNNNNNNNNNNNNNNNNNNNNNNNNNNNNNNNNNNNNNNNNNNNNNNNCUAUAAAAUGGCAGUUUAAUGAGUGUCCACUCUCACCCACCGUUUCCUUGACUGGUGGAGGGCCGUUAGCCGAACAGGUAGGACAAGGACUAUAAUUCUCCAUUCAUUAAAAGUAUUAAUGAUAAAUAUAAAGUAACUAAAAUGUUUUAUAAUUCCCAAUCUUAGUUACUUUAGGAAAAAUGUGAAUAAGGUGCUAAUCCAUGAAAUUGCACUUUGCACUUUGCUUAAGUCGGUUAGUGGAGCGUGUGUGGUUAACCGGCACACUAGCUUGAUUUAACAAGGUAGGCAAAGGGUAACUUAAUAUUUAUCAUAGCAUCGGUGGAGCGCGUGUGGUUAACCGACACAUCGAUUAAGGGGUAAAUAUUAAGGGUACCAAGUAAUUUGCAUGGUUACUUCACACCUUGUUUUGUGAUCAUCGACAUCCCAGUCAGAAAACCUGAAGAGCACAAUCGAGAUUGAAACAUGCCAUUGAACAAUUCAAUGAAUCUCAAAAUAUCUAGGAGUUUCAAAUCCAAGUAAAACCUAAUUAAAUUAUUUCGUUUUCAUGGUGGAAAUUGGUGAAUAUUCAGAUAUUCUUUAGCUUGGAUUACGGCAUCCCUCUUCCAAGUUAUAAAAUAUUGUGUUGGGUCCUAGCCUUAAUAUUUCAUAUUGAGUGCUAUAUUAAGGACUUUAGAUCAACUAUCUUGAAUAUCUCCCAAAAGAUGUCUAGUUUAGACAUCUAUGAUCAUCCCAAAUAUCUUGGAACUUCACUUCCUCCACCUCCUCCAAUUAUUCUCCCUAACCCACAAGUUCAAGGUCACUCAAACCCUAUUGGCAAGCAAGGUCUAUGUGUGAUCGCAUCUUGGAGAUGAAGUCACAUAUUGACAAGCCGGGAGAGUUGGGUGUCAAAGUCUUAAGAAAGUUGAAUGUUCAAUCGUUUUCUGAGUCACAUAGUGAGUUACUUUGGGACUACUAUGAAACAAACUAUGACAUGACCCUUAAUUAUCUUAUCUAUUUGCUUGGUGCUGCUGAAUCAGCAAUGAUUUGAGGACUAGUAAAGCAAGUUUGAUUAGGAGAUCAACUUCCCAAUGGACAUUGACAAUGGAAACAUUGGAUAUCUAGAAAAGCCUUCUCUUCCCAAGGAAAGGGAUUGACCAUAGUCAACUCAGUUGACCAAAUGGUAAAGAGAAAGGCAAGUCUAAGAUAGUCCAGUGCACCAUUCCCAAAGAGUCCAUUUGUUUUGCCAAAGGAAGGGGCAUUGAUUGCGAAGCUGCCUAUUUACCUGAAAGGUCAUAAGGUUGAUCAAGUCAAGAAGUUUGACUAUACUUCAGGUAAAGCCCACUAUCUAACUCUGUUAAGUUUCUAUUCUGAGAUUCUUAUUACAUGAUGUGACUGGGUCACAUGUUGAUGUUUGAAGAAUCAAAGAAAAAGUGAAGGAAACUUAAAGAAAGAGUAUGUUGAAUCUGACCGUGAAUAUGGAUUUCUGUUACUUGAUUGACGAUCGGAUUCUUGAGCUACUCUUAGGAGUUAUGAUAGAUUGCCAGGAACAUUGAAUAUCAUAGUUUUCAUUUAAAGUUGCAUUGUAAGGAAUUUUUUCCGCAUUUUAUGAAUAAAUAAAAGUUUGUUUUACUUUAUUUUAUAUCUCCUUGCAAUGGCAUUUAUGAAAACUUGAUGUUUGUAUGUUUCUAGCAAUAUUGGAAAUAUGAAUUUGAUCCUUUCAUUUGUGGUAGUGUCUAAAUUUACCAAAUAAGGAAAACUUCUCAUCACCCAAGAUUUCAGUUGGAUAGAAACUUGGAAUCAUACAAGUUGUACAGUAUGAUGAAUGAGAACUAUCAGCUUUCGAAAAUUUAAGACUCGUUCCUUAUUCACAUGUAUAUGUAAGUCAAGUGAAGGACUAAGGGAUCGAGUACACAUUCUUGUGCACUGGUCAAGUCCACCACAAAAGAUCGAUAAGACUAUUCGUCAUGAUUUACUAAAGUUUAGUAAAUAUGGUUAUACUUACAGGCUUAAGUAUAAUUCUGAAGCAUUUGAAAAUUUUCAAUGUAUGGCAGGACAGAUGAAAAGAAUCGAAUUAGGCAGAAAGAUAAAAGUUUCUCAAAUCUAAAAAGAUGGGAGAGUACUUUAAUAUCAGGUUUUGUGAUCAUCUUAAUGAUUUAGAAAUCAUAUCACAAUUAGUCCUCUAAGGAAAUCUUAGUGCAUUCUUAUGACUAAGAAGAGGAAUCUUAAAUUGUUGGAAUGGUUAAAUCAAGAAGAUGGGUCAUACUUCGUUCCAAAACAAGUCUUAGAGUCAUACUCCAAGAUUGUAAGUUAAGUGACAUAUCUUAAAGAAGGUUUAAAACACUUGUCAAAUGUAAGAGUAAAAGUGUCCUACUCUUGUACAUUUGAAAUGUGUAAGUUGUGAUGUUUUGGAUAAAACAAAGACCAACUUAGGCCAAUUGUGUGAAGUGUUUGUCUUGAUGAAGAAUCCACACUAUCUCUUGAAUAUUUGGCAAGAUAGCCUUAUAUGUCAAAAGGACCGUGGGAGUCUUAAAGAUCCUGAAAAGAAUUUCAAGAUCUAAUCAAGAAUAAAAACUUGUAGUUUAACACUAGCACACAAUGUGAGGUUUAUAACCUAUCGUGUUGACAUAUUUCUAUUUCUGUGCCCAUUCCAGGUAAAGUUGGCUUUGCAUAUGAGUUCUUAGUGUUCUCAAUUGGUUGCAUAACAACUUGGAAGCAAUGGCAGGCCCUUGAGCUGCCAGGUGGCAAUAAAUUCAAAUUGAGUUCAGUCCAUAUGAGUUUGGAUUUGUCAUUAUCCUUCUCUUGUGAUUAUGGUUUUGACAAAUCCACAUGGAUAGGAACACAUACACCAUAAAAUCUAAGUUUCAUAAGGUUUCUCUCUGAUUCAACAAAAUGAUGGUGAGGAAACACUUUCACUAAGUAGAUUUGAAGUAGAUAGCAAUUGUGAUAUUUUCAUUCUCAAAGUCAUUUGUGGAGCGCGUGUGGUUAACCGGCACACUAACUUAGACUUGUGAGAAAUGGCAAAGGUCUAAACAAUUGAGACUAUGAUUACGACAUCCCUUUUCAUAGUUCUGAAAUUGUUUAGACACACAUGCGUGCUAUCUAAGGAAAGGUGUAUAAUUUUGAUAAAGCUUAUAAAAAAAUCUUGUAUCAAAAGUCUGAACUUUGGUAAGGAAGUCAAUAAAGUAUUGAUUUCUAGAAGUCCAGCUGAUUUCUGAGUACAUGUCAAAGCUAGUGGGAUCAUGAGUGUAUUGCUAAUAAUCAGCAUGUUAGUGGGAGCAUGAUAAUUAUGAUAAAGGUUGCAAGUUAGCAAUGUUAAUUAUAGAAAAACAAAAGUUUAAAUUCGUGGAGUUGCAGGGGUUGAAAAAGUUGUUUUGUUAUAAUUAAGGGAGAGGAAAUUAUACUUAAUUUCAAUUCUAAAAGCUUCGAUUGAGGUUUUAAUCAUCUUUAGUCAAGGAUAUAUAUGAAUUUUAUGUUGGAAUGGCUCAACAUAAGGAAAUUCUAUAUNAUAUAUAUAUAUAUUGGGUCCAUUAUUUGCGUUCUAAAAUUCGAUUAUGAUUACGGCAUCCCUUUUCAUAAUCUAAAUUAUGAGAACUUGGCAAAUAGAAAUAGCAUAGCAAAAGACUGGUCCGGUAUCAUGUCUUUAUGUGAGACAUCAUGAAUCGCGUCCCAUAUGCUUCGGAUAUAGGAUCGAUUGCAUGUGCUAUAAUAUUCAUCCUUUCUAAAAUUUUCCAAAUGCCCGGGGCAUUACGAAGAGAAAAGGUCAAGAAUCGGAUAUGACUAAAAUUAUUAAGCAAUUAUCGAGGACAAUCUAAGGUUUACCAAAGAUUGGUUGCUCUAGGACAAUUGGAGGUAUGGUGUUAACUUUGGAAGGACCAUAUUGAUAGAUUCUGAAAAGAUGUAACUCUUGUUCAAAAGUGAUAGUCAAAAUGGGAAUAUGGAUUUCUUCCCAUAGGUUGAAGUUAUUCAUCAAAUCUGUGUAAGAUUAGGAAACUUAAUGUAUGAAGGAUGUUAAACUUGAAUGUGAGACUUAGGUUCUAUGGAAUGAUCUCCAUUGGAAUACUCUGUAAUGUUUGUUGACAAGUCUUUGUGACUUUGUGCAUAAUCAUUACAAGAGGAUCAAUGCAUAUAAGUUUAGAAUCUAACAGAUUUAGGUAAAUAGCAGGAUUUGGAAUUCUUGCAUUUGCGGUAAGGAUUUGGGAUUGUGAAAUGAGAAUCAUUGGAAUUAUGUUCAAUUGAUCUAUUUCACAAAGUAAAGAUCAUAGACAAACUUAGUAUGCAUACUUGGUGUAUGGCAUGACUAGUGUUUAAAAAAACAUAGUGUACAUGCUUGGAGCAUGGGACAACUAUUGUUUUAAUUCAAGUAUAAAGUUGAUAGUUUGAAACAGUAUGCAAUGAAUGAUGGGUAAUCAAUAUGGUGAUAAAUAAAAGAUGUUUUAUUUAUAUUCAUAAGUUCUGAGACCAUAUUGGAUUCGAUUAUUCUUGUGUUUCACUUUGCAUGUUUUGACUUCCAGAAUAACUAGGUCGUUCUUCCUGAUUGACUAAGUUAUUCAAACCAUCCACAGUCGGUCAUAUGUUGGAAGUAGAUAUGAAUCAAGAUUGUCAUGGGUUUGCUUGUUGAGGUCUAAGAUGUUGGACAAAGUGGUGAUACAACACUCAUGAGUGCUCAUAAUUUCUGAGUAUUGGAUUUAAUCCACGCUCAUUGGAAUCACUUCAUGGAUUUUAUCACGAGUGAUCAUGAGACGAUAAUAUCUUAUAUUCUUCAAACCUAAAGAUAUGAGUUGUUACUAUGAGUUGGUUAUACAUUGAUUGCACGAAAACGCAUUGGUAACUCGAUGUUAUAAAAUGUGCAUUUGUGUAUGAUUCAACAAGUAGUAGAACAAGCCAUAUGAGUCGAAGUUUAUCCAUUCCUUUUACCUUUGGGAUAAAAGCAAUAUCUGUGGGCCCCUCGAUGAUUUAGUGAUGACACCCCGAAGUGCUUGGCCAAGCCAGGACUAAUGUGAUUUGUUCAAUUAGUCGGUCAUCAUAAAUCGGAAAUCAAGAAACAAAAAAUGGACAGAGAGAAUGAUUUUAAUCCAUGUCUCAAUCCAUAUGAUAUCUAGAAUGGAGGAAUAUAUGAUCCCUUAUCUAAUGGACAAGUCAUUGACAAAUGGCAGAGUUCAUCGACAAGGUCAGAGUUCGACAGCGGCUUUUGAGAGCUAUGAUUGCCAGUUGGUUUUUGAAGUCAUACGCAAUAAUAGUUUUAGACUUAUCUAAGUGGGAGGCUGUUAGAUUAGUGACUAAGUCCAUAACUACAUUUGGUACGUAAUUGACCCGACUCCGCAUGGUCCAUUUGGGUUGCAUGGCAUCAUGCAUUUGGAUAGACUAAAAUGAGAGAAAUAACACUUAAGGUUUGGUAAUAUAUUAUAAGUUCUAAUAUAUUAAUAAGAUUAUUUAAUUAGUAUUGAUCAAGAAUUAAUUUGGAAUUAAUUAAGUGAUCAAAAGGAGACUAAUUAAAUAUAUGGGUUGAUUGUGUAAAUCAUCCAUACUUGUAUAGUGGGCUAAUGCUCCAUGGAUUAUCAAGUUGGGCUAAAACCCAUAGGAUGCUCCAUGGAUGCUCCAUGGUGAUUUUGUACCCAUGGAUCAUGGAAAUGAAAGGCCAUGACAAUUAGGGUUUACAUGGUGUAACCCUAAUUGUGACACACUAUAUAAGCAUCUUAUUCUUGUCAAAAUCAGCCACCGUGAGAGACUAUGAAGGAAUGGUGAGGGCUAUUCGAUUUCAUGAAGUGUAUCAUUUCUCUCUAAGUUAUUCCAUGUGUAUUUGAUGUUGUGUGAACCAUUUGAGGUGUCACACUUGGGGCACUAGGCUCUCGAGCUUCAGGGAGUUAAGCUACAUCAACAAGGUAUGUAUUUCUAUCUAGUUUAUUAUUCAAGUAUCAAAAGAUUGUAUGCUAGUUAGGGUAAUACCUUGGA
rnacentral:lncRNA from 1 species